UGGGGAAUUUUGGACAAUGGGCGCAAGCCUGAUCCAGCCAUGCCGCGUGCGGGAAGAAGGCCUUCGGGUUGUAAACCGCUUUUGUCAGGGAAGAAAUCUUCUGAGUUAAUACCUCGGGGAGGAUGACGGUACCUGAAGAAUAAGCACCGGCUAACUACGUGCCAGCAGCCGCGGUAAUACGUAGGGUGCAAGCGUUAAUCGGAAUUACUGGGCGUAAAGCGUGCGCAGGCGGUUUUGUAAGACAGAGGUGAAAUCCCCGGGNUCAACCUGGGAACUGCCUUUGUGACUGCAAGGCUUGAGUGCGGCAGAGGGGGAUGGAAUUCCGCGUGUAGCAGUGAAAUGCGUAGAUAUGCGGAGGAACACCGAUGGCGAAGGCAAUCCCCUGGGCCUGCACUGACGCUCAUGCACG
rnacentral:rRNA from 1 species